rnacentral:rRNA from 1 species
GACGAACGCUGGCGGCGUGCCUAAUACAUGCAAGUAGAACGCUGAAGAGAGGAGCUUGCUCUUCUUGGUUGAGUUACGAACGGGUGAGUAACGCGUAGGUAACCUGCCUUGUAGCGGGGGAUAACUAUUGGAAACGAUAGCUAAUACCGCAUAACAAUGGAUGACACAUGUCAUUUAUUUGAAAGGGGCAAUUGCUCCACUACAAGAUGGACCUGCGUUGUAUUAGCUAGUAGGUGAGGUAACGGCUCACCUAGGCGACGAUACAUAGCCGACCUGAGAGGGUGAUCGGCCACACUGGGACUGAGACACGGCCCAGACUCCUACGGGAGGCAGCAGUAGGGAAUCUUCGGCAAUGGGGGCAACCCUGACCGAGCAACGCCGCGUGAGUGAAGAAGGUUUUCGGAUCGUAAAGCUCUGUUGUAAGUCAAGAACGAGUGUGAGAGUGGAAAGUUCACACUG